AAUAAAAUCAAAACAACAAAUCCGAUCGCUUUCAAGAAACAUCAAAGAGAAAAAGAUGAGUUAUUAUAACCAGCCACCGCCUCCCGUCGGCGUUCCUCCGCCGCAGGGUUAUCCAUCGUCGCAAGGAUAUGGUCCUCCGACUACUACGACAGCGUCAGGAUAUCCACUGCACGGCGGUUAUCCUCCACAGGGAUAUCCACCUCCGCCGGAACAUGAUCAAAACCAAAAGAGAGAUGGAUAAUGCUUCAGACGCUGGAUUUCUGAAAUACUUUGGUGGACAAGUUAAUGGACACAUGUGAAGAGAUGACUUGUUAGAGUGAUCAAACCACAUAAAAAUUUGAAUCUCUAAUGUUGUUUAAAAUUUAAAUUUCAUGAUUAUCUUUAAUGUAUAAUGUUUUAGGUUGAUCACCUCCUUGAAAUAAUUGUGUAAUUGCAGAUAGAUCAAAUUAUUGCUUGUUAUCAAGUUUUAAUAUAGUGAUAAUUAGGUUUAUUCGAGUAUUAU